GACGAACGCUGGCGGCGUGCCUAAUACAUGCAAGUCGAGCGCAGGAAAUCGACGGAACCCUUCGGGGGGAAGUCGACGGAAUGAGCGGCGGACGGGUGAGUAACACGUAAAGAACCUGCCCUCAGGCCUGGGAUAACCACGAGAAAUCGGGGCUAAUACCGGAUGGGUCAUCGGACCGCAUGGUCCGAGGAUGAAAGGCGCUUCGGCGUCGCCUGGGGAUGGCUUUGCGGUGCAUUAGCUAGUUGGUGGGGUAUUGGCCCACCAAGGCGACGAUGCAUAGCCGACCGGAGAGGGGGAUCGGCCACACUGGGACUGAGACACGGCCCAGACUCCUACGGGAGGCAGCAGUAGGGAAUCUUCCACAAUGGACGAAAGUCUGAUGGAGCAACGCCGCGUGAACGAUGAAGGCCUUCGGGUCGUAAAGUUCUGUUGUAAGGGAAGAACAAGUGCCGCAGGCAAUGGCGGCACCUUGACGGUACCUUGCGAGAAAGCCACGGCUAACUACGUGCCAGCCGCCGCCGUAA
rnacentral:rRNA from 1 species